GGGAGCGAACCGGAUUAGAUACCCGGGUAGUCCUGGCCGUAAACGAUGCAUACUAGGCAAUGGUGCGGCCAUGAGCCGCAUCAGGUACCGUAGGGAAACCGUUAAGUGUGCCGCCUGGGAAGUACGGUCGCAAGGCUGAAACUGAAAGGAAUUGGCGGGGGAGCACCACAAGGGGUGAAGCCUGCGGUUCAAUUGGACUCAACGCCGGGAAACUUACCAGGGGAGACAGCAGAAUGACAGUCAGGUUGACGACCUUACUCGACGAGCUGAGAGGAGGUGCAUGGCCGUCGCCAGUUCGUGCUGUGAGGUAUCCUGUUAAGUCAGGCAACGAACGAGAUCCGCGCCUUUAUUUGCCAUCAAGAAGUCACGACUUUGUUGGGAACACUAAAGGGACCGCCGUCGAUAAGACGGAGGAAGGAGCGGGCAAAGGCAGGUCAGUAUGCCCCGAAACCCCUGGGCUACACGCGGGCUGCAAUGGUGCGAACAAUGGGCUGUAACUCCGAAAGGAGAAACCAAUCCCGAAAUCGCAUCUCAGUGGGGAUUGUCGACUGUAACUCGUUGACAUGAACGUGGAAUCCCUAGUAAUCGCG
rnacentral:rRNA from 1 species